CGUAGGUGGCAAGCGUUGUCCGGAUUUAUUGGGUUUAAAGGGUGCGUAGGCGGUCUUGUAAGUCAGUGGUGAAAUCCGGCAGCUUAACUGUCGAUGUGCCAUUGAUACUGGAAGACUUGAGUACAGACGAGGUAGGCGGAAUUGACGGUGUAGCGGUGAAAUGCUUAGAUAUCGUCAAGAACACCGAUAGCGAAGGCAGCUUACUAGACUGUAACUGACGCUGAUGCACGAAAGUGUGGGGAUCAAACAGGAUUAGAUACCCUGGUAGUCCACACUGUAAACGAUGAUUACUCGAUGUUGGCGAUACACAGCCAGCGUCUUAGCGAAAGCGAUAAGUAAUCCACCUGGGGAGUACGCCGGCAACGGUG
rnacentral:rRNA from 1 species